CUCACCUUAGCUCAGUUGGAAGAGCAUAAGACUGUAAUUGAUUAUUGAAAUCUUGGGGUCCCCGGUUCGAUCCCGGGAGGUGAGA